rnacentral:rRNA from 1 species
UUCCGGUUGAUCCUGCCGGAGGCUACCGCUAUUGGAGUUCGAUUAAGCCAUGCGAGUCGCGAGUCUUAGGGACUCGGCGUACCGCUCAGUAACACGUGGGUAACCUGCCCUAUGCUGGGGGAUAACCUCGGGAAACUGAGAAUAAUACCCCAUAGUUCACCACGCCUGGAACGGUGGGUGGAUCAAAGCUCCGGCGGCAUAGGAUGGGCCUGCGGCGUAUCAGGUUGUAGGGGGUGUAAUGUACCCUCUAGCCCUCUACGCGUACGGGUGUUGAGAGACAUCGCCCGGAGAUGGAUUCUGAGACACGAAUCCAGACCCUACGGGGUGCAGCAGGCGCGAAAACUUGGCAAUGCGAGAAAUCGUGACCAGGGAACUCCAAGUGCAUCGGGUAAGACCGAUGCUUUUCUUGACUCUUCAAAGGUCUUGGAAUAAGGGGUGGGUAAGGACGGUGCCAGCCGCCGCGGUAAUACCGGCGCCCCAAGUGGUAGUCGCUUUUAUUGGGCCUAAAACGUCCGUAGCCGGUCUGGUACAUUCGUGGGUAAAUCAACCAGCUCAACUGGUUGAAUUCUGCGAGCACGGCCAGACUUGGGACCGGGAGAGGUGUGGGGUACUCUCAGGGUAGGGGUAAAAUCCUGUCAUCCUGAGGGGACCACCUGUUGCGAAGGCGCCACACUAGAACGGAUCCGACGGUCAGGGACGAAGCCUAGGGGCACGAACCGGAUUAGAUACCCGGGUAGUCCUAGGUGUAAACGCUGUGGACUUGAUGUUGGGGGCGCUCCGAGCGCACUCAGUGUCGAAGCGAAGGUGAUAAGUCCACUGCCUGGGGAGUACGGUCGCAAGGCUGAAACUUAAAGGAAUUGGCGGGGGAGCACCGCAACCUGAGGAUUGUGCGGUUUAAUUGGAGUCAACGCCGG